AUUGAACGCUGGCGGCAGGCCUAACACAUGCAAGUCGAGCGGAUGAAGGGAGCUUGCUCCUGGAUUCAGCGGCGGACGGGUGAGUAAUGCCUAGGAAUCUGCCUGGUAGUGGGGGAUAACGUCCGGAAACGGGCGCUAAUAUCGCAUACGUCCGGGGGGAGAAAGUGGGGGAUCUUCGGACCUCACGCUAUCAGAUGAGCCUAGGUCGGAUUAGCUAGUUGGUGGGGUAAAGGCCUACCAAGGCGACGAUCCGUAACUGGUCUGAGAGGAUGAUCAGUCACACUGGAACUGAGACACGGUCCAGACUCCUACGGGAGGCAGCAGUGGGGAAUAUUGGACAAUGGGCGAAAGCCUGAUCCAGCCAUGCCGCGUGUGUGAAGAAGGUCUUCGGAUUGUAAAGCACUUUAAGUUGGGAGGAAGGGCAGUAAGUUAAUACCUUGCUGUUUUGACGUUACCAACAGAAUAAGCACCGGCUAACUUCGUG
rnacentral:rRNA from 1 species